rnacentral:rRNA from 1 species
GACGUAGGGGGCGAGCGUUGUCCGGAUUUAUUGGGCGUAAAGAGCUCGUAGGCGGUCCGGUAAGUCGGUUGUGAAAACUGGGGGCUCAACCCUCAGAGGCCGACCGAUACUGCCGGGCUAGAGUCCGGAAGAGGCGAGUGGAAUUCCUGGUGUAGCGGUGAAAUGCGCAGAUAUCAGGAGGAACACCAAUGGCGAAGGCAGCUCGCUGGGACGGUACUGACGCUGAGGCGCGAAAGCGUGGGGAGCAAACAGG